UUUUCCCACUAUUAACUAAUAACUAUCCUUCUUUUUGCAUGUAAGUUGAGCAUAUUCAACUAGGGCAAAGCAUCAGACACGAAUGAAUCAAUUUGUUUGGUGAAAUUAAGAAAGUUUGUUUCUACAAUAUAGUUUCUAAAAGAUUAUGAGUCAUGUUCAUGUCAAGAGGUUUGUAAAGUGGAAAGCAUUGAAAUUGGAAGAGAAAGAUUUUAUUUAUUUUUUAAUAAUCG
rnacentral:lncRNA from 1 species